rnacentral:rRNA from 1 species
GACGAACCGUCCUAACGUUGUUCGGAAUCACUGGGCUUAAAGGGCGCGUAGGCGGCUUGCCAAGUCAGGGGUGAAAUCCUGCAGCUUAACUGUAGAAGGGCCUUUGAUACUGGCGAGCUCGAGGGAGGUAGGGGUAGCGGGAAUUCCCAGUGUAGCGGUGAAAUGCGUAGAUAUUGGGAAGAACACCAGCGGCGAAAGCGCGCUACUGGGCCAUUACUGACACUCAUGGACGAAAGCUAGGGGAGCGAAAGGG